UAGGGAAUCUUCGGCAAUGGACGAAAGUCUGACCGAGCAACGCCGCGUGAGUGAAGAAGGUUUUCGGAUCGUAAAACUCUGUUGUUCGAGAAGAACAAGGACGUUAGUAACUGAACGUCCCCUGACGGUAUCUAACCAGAAAGCCACGGCUAACUACGUGCCAGCAGCCGCGGUAAUACGUAGGUGGCAAGCGUUGUCCGGAUUUAUUGGGCGUAAAGCGAGCGCAGGCGGUUUCUUAAGUCUGAUGUGAAAGCCCCCGGCUCAACCGGGGAGGGUCAUUGGAAACUGGGAGACUUGAGAGCAGAAGAGGAGAGUGGAAUUCCAUGUGUAGCGGUGAAAUGCGUAGAUAUAUGGAGGAACACCAGUGGCGAAGGCGGCUCUCUGGUCUGUAACUGACGCUGAGGCUCGAAAGCGUGGGGAGCAAACAGG
rnacentral:rRNA from 1 species